AUCUCUGUCAUUCAGGGAUCUUGUUAAAAUACAGAAUCUGAUUCUGUAGGUCUGGGGUAGGUUCCGAGAUUCUGCAUUUCUAACAAACUCCCAGGUGCUGCUGUG
rnacentral:pre_miRNA from 1 species